AACAAAUAUAAUGCUAAUGUGAGGUUAGCUCAUUUGAUAGAGACGCAAAGCCUUGUACACACCGUCCAUCAUACUAUGGGAGUUGUUCAUGCUCGAAGUUGUUCCAUUAAUUGUAAGGAGAGGGAUGCCGAAGCCAGGGCUAGUGACUAGAGUGAAGUUGUAACAACGUAACUGUGCUAGAACGUGUUGCUG
rnacentral:sRNA from 1 species